AUAGCUUUUUUAAUAUGUCUAGAGUCCAGACUUCAUAAGCCAAUUGAACAUUCAACAGCUUAACUCACGCAAGUCGAUUUUAUUACCAGAUAUGAAUGUUCAGCCACAACGUAUUCUGGAGCUGUGAGGAGCUUUAACUGCAAGCAUUCAUGGAAAAGUGUUUUGUGAGGGGCAUAUUUAAAUGGAUGGAGAACAGCUAUGAAUAGACACAUGACACCACUGGAGGACACUUGAUGCUACUGCCAGUGCUGUGAUGGACGUGUCGGCCCUUCUGUCAGGAUGGCUAUAUAAGAACAUAAAACCACAGAAGCUGGAAUUCACUUAUAAUCCAGAAACCGAUUGUGACAGAACUUGUACCUCAGAAGCAACUUAAACUUUAUGUUUCCAGUGACAUACUCGAGAUCUUUGAGUCAAAGAGCCAUCAGACUUGAUUGCAUGUCUAGGAAUCGCAGCACUUGACAGAUGACACGACCGCUUUUCAGAACAAAGUACUGCAAGCUACACACAUUUUGACAGCCAAGCAACCGCCUGAAUCCAUAUAAAUGUUCUCCAGACUGCAAUGCAACAAAACAGGACAAAGGCCGAGAGGCAUGAAGACUUUCACAAGGCACUAUGCAAUUCAUGUAAAACACGAAAAGAAACACCUGAGCAAAGAAGAUAAAUGAAUGAAGACUGUAAACAUUGUGGCAGAUGGCUGGGACCCUCAACCGGCUGGGAAGCUUUGGUAAUGGAAGGACUGAGAGAGAGAACAUGCACAGGGCAUUAUCUCCCCCGGAGCUCUAGAUGGCAGCCCCCCCCAUGAGCUGCAGCAGUCCCUCAGAUUCCCACAGGGCACGCUGGGACUUCAAGUUUCUGGGCUCAGCCAUGUUGGGUUUCAUGGGUGCUGCCAGGAGGUGCAGCAGGGUCCACGGAGACCUACUUUGUCUUGCUUCUGUCUCACCCAGAAGUGCUAAAGAGCCAUCGGAUGCAGGAUAAAAGGAGCCCACUGUCGCUGCUCCAGGAGCAAGUGUCAGGAGAUGGAGGAUGAAGCAUGCCAGAAGGAGUGGAGGUGGAAGGAUAGAAGAGAAGAAGUCCUGUGAGCUGAUUGUGUGACUGUGCUUGUGUACUUUGCCGUUUAGGGGUGGGGGGACAAUUGGGAAGUGCUUUACCUGGUCAAAUAAAAACGUGUGCUGUGCUUGAA